rnacentral:rRNA from 1 species
AGUGAACGCUGGCGGUAGGCCUAACACAUGCGAGUCGAACGGCAGCACAGUAAGAGCUUGCUCUUACGGGUGGCGAGUGGCGGACGGGUGAGGAAUACAUCGGAAUCUACUUUUUCGUGGGGGAUAACGUAGGGAAACUUACGCUAAUACCGCAUACGACCUACGGGUGAAAGCAGGGGAUCUUCGGACCUUGCGCGAUUGAAUGAGCCGAUGUCGGAUUAGCUAGUUGGCGGGGUAAGGGCCCACCAAGGCGACGAUCCGUAGCUGGUCUGAGAGGAUGAUCCGCCACACUGGAACUGAGACACGGUCCAGACUCCUACGGGAGGCAGCAGUGGGGAAUAUUGGACAAUGGGCGCAAGCCUGAUCCAGCCAUACCGCGUGGGUGAAGAAGGCCUUCGGGUUGUAAAGCCCUUUUGUUGGGAAAGAAAAGCAGCAGGUUAAUACCCCGCUGUUCUGACGGUACCCAAAGAAUAAGCACCGGCUAACUUCGUG